UUGAAAUUCAUUGUGUGUUUUGCCUUUAUAUAAGGAGUUUUGCGUUUUUUACCGAUAACCAAAGGGGGACACUAGGGGGAAGUAACUGCUAUUUUUUUUUUCUGGAGAGGGCUGAAAUAAGGGGUUCACCGGUUCUUUCACAAUCAGAUGGUGUCCCAGGACUGCAAGUAACUGCGUACAUCCACACAGCGCAUUACACCAACCUGAGAAGAAUCCUUGCGUGACCGGAUUGUUUCUGAACCUGCCGAGCCCCUGCUGCAUCUGGGACCCGCCUUCACCGUUUCCCAAUCCCAGCGGUUAGCCCCUGCG
rnacentral:lncRNA from 1 species